rnacentral:rRNA from 1 species
GAUUCUGGCUCAGGAUGAACGCUGGCGGCGUGCCUAACACAUGCAAGUCGAGCGAUUCUCUUCGGAGAAGAGCGGCGGACGGGUGAGUAACGCGUGGGUAACCUGCCUCAUACACAUGGAUAACAUACCGAAAGGUAUGCUAAUACAGGAUAAUAUAAGAGAUUCACAUGGAUUUCUUAUCAAAGCUCCGGCGGUAUGAGAUGGACCCGCGUCUGAUUAGCUAGUUGGUAAGGUAACGGCUUACCAAGGCGACGAUCAGUAGCCGACCUGAGAGGGUGAUCGGCCACAUUGGAACUGAGACACGGUCCAAACUCCUACGGGAGGCAGCAGUGGGGAAUAUUGCACAAUGGGCGAAAGCCUGAUGCAGCAACGCCGCGUGAGUGAUGAAGGCCUUCGGGUCGUAAAACUCUGUCCUCAAGGAAGAUAAUGACGGUACUUGAGGAGGAAGCCCCGGCUAACUACGUGCCAGCCGCUGC